UACGUAGGGUACGAGCGUUGUCCGGAAUUACUGGGCGUAAAGAGCUCGUAGGUGGUUUGUCGCGUUGUUCGUGAAAACUCACAGCUCAACUGUGGGCGUGCGGGCGAUACGGGCAGACUGGAGUACUGCAGGGGAGACUGGAAUUCCUGGUGUAGCGGUGGAAUGCGCAGAUAUCAGGAGGAACACCGGUGGCGAAGGCGGGUCUCUGGGCAGUAACUGACGCUGAGGAGCGAAAGCGUGGGGAGCGAACAGG
rnacentral:rRNA from 1 species